rnacentral:rRNA from 1 species
GAUGAACGCUGGCGGCGUGCUUAACACAUGCAAGUCGAACGAUGAACCUCACUUGUGGGGGGAUUAGUGGCGCACGGGUGCGUAACACGUGAGUAACCUUCCCUUGACUCUGGGAUAAGCCUGGGAAACCGGGUCUAAUACUGGAUACGACCUUCUGGCGCAUGCCAUGUUGGUGGAAAGCUUUUGUGGUUUUGGGUGGACUCGCGGCCUAUCAGCUUGUUGGUGGGGUAAUGGCCUACCAAGGCGACGACGGGUAGACGGCCUGAGAGGGUGACCGGCCAGACUGGGACUGAGACACGGCACAGAAGCCUACGGGAGGCAGCAGUGGGGAAUAUUGCACAAUGGGCGCAAGCCUGAUGCAGCGAGGCAGCGUGAGGGAUGAAGGCCUUCGGGUUGUAAACCUCUGUCAGUAGGGAAGAAGCCGGCUUUUGGGUUGGUGACGGUACCUGCAGAAGAAGCGCCGGCUAACUACGUG